rnacentral:rRNA from 1 species
UGGGGAAUCUUGCACAAUGGACGAAAGUCUGAUGCAGCAACGCCGCGUGGGUGAAGAAGGUCUUUGGAUUGUAAAGCCCUUUCGGUUGGGAAGAAGGGUGUGUGGGAUAAUACCCCAUGCACUUGACGGUACCAGAAGAAGAAGCACCGGCUAAUUCCGUGCCAGCAGCCGCGGUAAUACGGAAGGUGCGAGCGUUGUUCGGAAUAAUUGGGCGUAAAGAGCACGUAGGUGGGAUGGUGUGUCAGAUGUGAAAUCCCCGGGCUUAACCUGGGAAUUGCAUUUGAAACUGCCGUUCUUGAAUACUUGAGGGGUUGGAGAAAUUCCAGGUGUAGGAGUGAAAUCCGUAGAGAUCUGGAGGAAUACCGGAGGCGAAGGCGUCCAACUGGCAAUGUAUUGACACUGAGGUGCGAAAGUGCGGGGAGCAAACAGG